rnacentral:rRNA from 1 species
UACGGAGGGGGCUAGCGUUGUUCGGAAUUACUGGGCGUAAAGCGCACGUCGGCGGCUUUGUAAGUUAGAGGUGAAAGCCCAGGGCUUAACCCUGGAAUUGCCUUUAAGACUGCAUCGCUAGAAUUGUGGAGAGGUAAGUGGAAUUCCGAGUGUAGAGGUGAAAUUCGUAGAUAUUCGGAAGAACACCAGUGGCGAAGGCGACUUACUGGACACAUAUUGACGCUGAGGUGCGAAAGCGUGGGGAGCAAACAGG